CUCGGCUACACCUUUCCCCGGGCUCUUCCCUCCGCUCCUCCCCGUGGCCCCCUCCCCUCUGGCGGCCACCGCAGAGCUCCGACUGACCCGUGUGCCUCGCUCUGCCAGGCUGCCUUCCUCUCUACCUGCCCCCUUCCAGAUCCGCAGUCCCCUGCUCUCCACGCGAGCCCCCUUCACAGUCCCUGCUACCUUGUAACUAACUUGCACUUUUCCCGAGUCCGGUUCUUAGCCUUUGCCCUGCAGCUCAGCUCCUUAAAGCUUUCAGAUCCCCAAACUUUUAUUGUAAUUAUGGACAAUAACUCCGUCCUUAACGCCUGUGCCCUCCGGGAUCCCGUGGCCCGCCGCCCCCUCCGUUGGACCUGGAGUCGCUCUCGUCUGCACCUCUCCCUUAGACCCACUUCCCUGAGCCCCUUGUCGAGAGGCUUUCAGGAAGCCAACCAGGAAGUGGGACUACCGCUGCUGCUGCAGCAGCUCCACGUGGCUGAUUUAUAGCUGAAGGGUUUUUUUUUUUCCUUCUUAUUGAUUGUUCUUGCUUUUUCACACGGCUCCUUAAGGUGGUGAAUUUGUAACCGAAAGGCCCAGGUGAGAUGUGCAAAUAUCACUGGAUUGGAGGAGCUCACUUGGAAAGCCAGUAUUCCUCCUGAGCUAAUGAAAAGAAAGGCUGUCGUCUUAUGCCAAAAGCAAUACCAACCUUGUUCACGGGCUAGAUCUAGAGUGUGUAAUUCACGAAGUAUGAAUCUGCUGGGUAAUGUGAUAUGAAAAGCGAAUGCACCAUUUCUUGGUGAUGAUUCAGGUCAGCGUUGGGACCCAGGAAUCUCCUGUUAAUCAGUACCCUGGUGAUUUUGAUCCAGGUAAUCUGGGCACCACCUUUGGAGAAACACUGAAAGGAAGCAAGGUUGCGGGGGGUGGUUGGGAAAAGUCUUAUAUGGAUAUCUUUGGAAGACAGAAAUAGGCUCAUUUAUGGACUCAACUUGAACUGUUCA
rnacentral:lncRNA from 1 species